GUCACAGAGCCAGCAGUAGAACUCAGAUCUGAGAGUCCAUUACCCUGUCUCAUAGACCACAUUGAUUUUUUAUGCCAGAGCCAAACUGUCCAGAGAAACUCUUCCCAUGCAUCCAACGAAGCUAUCAAGUGACAAUAAGCUCAGCCAAAGAAACACAACACUUAGAAGCAACACAUCAUCAGAACUAGAGCUGGGUGCAUUCCUAGGAGCAACUAACUAAUUCAAAAAAAUUCACCUUUUUAUUUUCUGUUGGUGUUAACCUAAAAGCAAGGACUCAGAAAUAAUGCUGAGAAAGGCUCUUCUUGAAGUGUUUCUGGCCAGGCUGGAGCCAAGAAUUAUCAGAAAUUAAUCUUGCAUAAAAGCCGAAACUUUAAAUAUUUUAGACCAAAGCCAUGCAUCAAAUCUAUGAACUUUGAAUCUCACCCCACCUCACAACAUGAAACCAGCCAGCUUGGUUUUUCAGUAUUUUCACUUGUCAGAUGGAAGUCUUAAAAGCAAUUUGGGGUAGCAGCAAUGUGGUUAUUCUCUGCUAGGAAUUAAUUGGUUUUCUUCUGCCUGCAUUUCCAUCCAUUAGAAAGGAUUCUUGAUCCACCCACAACAAGCCCAAAGCAUUUGCAGUGUAAAGGAACAGAGACAGGAAUUCUAAUAGGACUGGAAAGCCAGAAAUAAAACU